rnacentral:rRNA from 1 species
UACAGAGGGUGCGAGCGUUGUUCGGAAUUAUUGGGCGUAAAGGGCGCGUAGGCGGUGCGGUAAGUCACCUGUGAAAUCUCCUGGCUCAACUGGGAGCUUGCAGGCGAAACUGCCGUGCUGGAGUGUGGGAGAGGUGAGUGGAAUUCCCGGUGUAGCGGUGAAAUGCGUAGAUAUCAGGAGGAACACCGAUGGCGAAGGCAGGUCUCUGGGCUGACACUGACGCUCAUGCACGAAAGCGUGGGGAGCAAACAGG